GAUUGGGACGAAGUCGUAACAAGGUAGCCGUACCGGAAGGUGCGGCUGGAUCACCUCCUUUCUAAGGAGCACCACGAAAAGGGUUGAGACACUGGGUCUUACCCGAGCCGUGAGGAACCGGUUGCCUGUAGUGGGCACGGUUUGGUGCACAACAAACUUUUUUGACUGCCAGACACACUAUUGGGCUUUGAGACAACAGGCCCGUGCCCCUUUUGGGGGGUGGCAUCCGGUUGCGGGUGUCGGCGUGUUGUUGCCUCACUUUGGUGGUGGGGUGUGGUGUUUGAUUUGUGGAUAGUGGUUGCGAGCAUCUAGCACGCAGUGUGGCUGGGGGCCUUCGGGUUUCCGGUCUUGUUGUGUGUUGAUGUGCAAUUUCUUUUGAAACUCAUUUUUGGUUUUUGUGUUGUAAGUGUUUAAGGGGCGCAUGGUGGAUGCCUUGGCACUGGGAGCCGAUGAAGGACGUGGGAGGCU
rnacentral:misc_RNA from 1 species